rnacentral:lncRNA from 1 species
CAAACUAAACCUACCCAACAGCCAUUAAACCCAAAACCCAUUUAGCCCAACACCAAAAAAACAAACAAACUAAAAAACCCUAAAAUCAGAAACCCUAGCCCCCUAACACCUAGGUGCGCCGCACCUAGGUCAACCACCCUCCCUUCUGCCAAGGCCACCAACUGCAACCAGCACCGGUCACCUGCCCUCUGCCACCGGACUGCCCCACCUGCACAACAAAGCAAACAUGCAAGGUAGAAGAAAGACAGUAGAAACAAUAAAAAAAUCAUGUAAAUGGCUUUAAAAAGCCAAGCAAAAACCGACUUAGGGGAUUUUUUUAACAAAAAAGAAGAAAAACUGAUUGUAUUUUAAAAGGUUUUUACUUCUGAAAUUUGGAGGAUAGAAAAACGAAAAGAUAUAAGCUUUAAGGUGAUUUUCGUGUUAUUCAUUUUAUCUUUUAUUAUCUUUAGUUUAUUUUUUUGUUUAUUUUUUUUAUAAAUACGAAAAUAAAAAGAAAAAUGAGAGGGUUUACUAGAGUUACCUUGCGACCGCGUCGACGCUCCAUGAUCUCAUCGUCGGAGGCUUCUUCCUCGUGGCCGGAAUUGUACCAAAAUAGGGUAAAAAGGGGCCUUUCUCCUUUCGAUUUUGCGGAUUUGGAGGCUUCCACCUUUGGGCCCACUCAAAAAGGGAUCGACAAACCCCAUCUUUGCGCUUCGUCAGUCACCGGAUACGGAGGUGGUACGACGGGCGGUGGAAAGCCAAGGGUUGGCCAUGGGGAACUAAGGAGAGAAAUGAGAAGGGAGGGAGAGCAGAGUGGCU